UAAGGAAUAUUGGUCAAUGGACGCAAGUCUGAACCAGCCAUGCCGCGUGAAGGAUUAAGGCCCUCUGGGUUGUAAACUUCUUUUAUAGGGGAAGAAAUGUGACGGUUCUCCGUCACUUGACGGUACCCUGGGAAUAAGCACCGGCUAACUCCGUGCCAGCAGCCGCGGUGAUACGGAGGGUGCAAGCGUUAUCCGGAUUCACUGGGUUUAAAGGGUGCGUAGGUGGGCAGAUAAGUCAGUGGUGAAAUCUCCCGGCUUAACCGGGAAACUGCCGUUGNUACUAUUUGUCUUGAAUAUUGCGGAGGUAAGCGGAAUAUGUCAUGUAGCGGUGAAAUGCUUAGAUAUGACAUAGAACACCAAUUGCGAAGGCAGCUUACUAUGCGGUGAUUGACACUGAGGCACGAAAGCGUGGGUAGCAAACA
rnacentral:rRNA from 1 species